rnacentral:rRNA from 1 species
AACGAACGCUGGCGGCAGGCUUAACACAUGCAAGUCGAGCGCCCCGCAAGGGGAGCGGCAGACGGGUGAGUAACACGUGGGGAUCUGCCCGAUGGUACGGAAUAAUUCCGGGAAACUGGGACUAAUACCGUAUGAGCCCGCAAGGGGAAAGAUUUAUCGCCAUCGGAUGAACCCGCGUCAGAUUAGCUAGUUGGUGUGGUAAAGGCGCACCAAGGCGACGAUCUGUAGCUGGUCUGAGAGGAUGAUCAGCCACACUGGGACUGAGACACGGCCCAGACUCCUACGGGAGGCAGCAGUGGGGAAUAUUGGACAAUGGGCGCAAGCCUGAUCCAGCCAUGCCGCGUGAGUGAUGAAGGCCUUAGGGUUGUAAAGCUCUUUCGCCGACGAAGAUAAUGACGGUAGUCGGGGAAGAAGCCCCGGCUAACUUCGUGCCAGCAGCCGCCGUAACAC